rfam:Trichobilharzia regenti genome assembly, scaffold: TRE_scaffold0000632
AUCCAGAUGACGAGUCACAAACAGGACGAAAUCCGCAUCCUGGAU